UUCACAGAAGAGAAGGAAGACCAAGGAAAUGAUUUGCUCAGGAUGAGAAAUGAAGACGGCCAUCUUGAGCUCAAACAAACAGAAGUCCUCUGAUGAUCUCAUCAGCCAAAUGAGGGGUUUUGACCAAGUGAUGCUCUUGAAAGGAGUGAAAGAAGAGGAUGUGCUAAAUUCUCUUCAGAGAAAAAGCUUCUCAAAAGGUCUCAAACCAGCUUGAAGAAUGGUCUGGGAUCUUAGGACUGAGAGAUCCUCUGGCUGAGGACAAGCUACACCACAUCAGUGCUGGAUAUCAACCACAAACUGUUUCCAGACACGAGAGAAGAAGAUCACGAUGGGGAGAUGAAACCAGUUUAGAUGUGAUGAUGGGAAUCAUUAUUUUCUGGAACAGUAUCUCAUGUCUUAUAUGUAUCACAUGAUCUGUAUCACAGUUGACUGGAUGGGACUGUGUGACUUUUAAGGACAUUUCAUCACUCAUCUGUGUGAACUGAUUUAUAUAUGAGGUUAAUGUAUCUUUGAUGAUAAUUAUUUUCAUUGAAUCUUAUUUGUCUUGAUGCUACUUUAUCAACUUUAUAGUCUAUGCUUCAAUAAAAUGAAAAUGGUGAA